rnacentral:rRNA from 1 species
UGGGGAAUAUUGGACAAUGGGCGCAAGCCUGAUCCAGCAAUGCCGCGUGUGUGAAGAAGGUCUUCGGAUUGUAAAGCACUUUCGGCGGGGACGAUGAUGACGGUACCCGCAGAAGAAGCCCCGGCUAACUUCGUGCCAGCAGCCGCGGUAAUACGAAGGGGGCUAGCGUUGCUCGGAAUUACUGGGCGUAAAGGGCGCGUAGGCGGCCUUGUCAGUCAGGCGUGAAAUUCCUGGGCUUAACCUGGGGGCUGCGCUUGAUACGGCAGGGCUAGAGGUCAGAAGAGGGUCGUGGAAUUCCCAGUGUAGAGGUGAAAUUCGUAGAUAUUGGGAAGAACACCGGUGGCGAAGGCGGCGACCUGGUCUGAUACUGACGCUGAGGCGCGACAGCGUGGGGAGCAAA